rnacentral:rRNA from 1 species
GUGAGGAAUAUUGCGCAAUGGAGGAAACUCUGACGCAGCAACGCCGCGUGGGUGAAGAAGGCUUUCGGGUUGUAAAGCCCUGUCAGGCGGGAAGAAACCCCCGCAGGUGAAUAGUCUGCGGGUCUGACGGUACCGCCAAAGGAAGCACCGGCUAACUCCGUGCCAGCAGCCGCGGUAAGACGGAGGGUGCAAGCGUUGUUCGGAAUCACUGGGCGUAAAGCGCGUGUAGGCGGUCCGAUAAGUCGAGUGUGAAAGCCCGAGGCUCAACCUCGGAAGUGCAUUCGAAACUGUCGGGCUUGAGUACGGGAGAGGGAAGUGGAAUUCCUGGUGUAGAGGUGAAAUUCGUAGAUAUCAGGAGGAACACCGGUGGCGAAGGCGGCUUCCUGGACCGAUACUGACGCUGAGACGCGAAAGCGUGGGGAGCAAACAGGAUUAGAUACCCGAGUAGUCC